GACGAACGCUGGCGGCGUGCUUAACACAUGCAAGUCGAACGGAAAGGCCCUGCUUUUGUGGGGUGCUCGAUUGGCGAACGGGUGAGUAACACGUGAGUAUCCUGCCCUUGACUUUGGGAUAACUUCAGGAAACUGGGGCUAAUACCGGAUAGGAGCUCCUGCUCCAUGGUGGGGUUUGGAAAGUUUCGGCGGUUGGGGAUGGACUCGCGGCUUAUCAGCUUGUUGGUGGGGUAGUGGCUUACCAAGGCUUUGACGGGUAGCCGGCCUGAGAGGGUGACAGGCCACAUAGGGACUGAGAUACGGCCCAGACUGAUACGGGAGGCAGCAGUGGGGAAUAUAGGACAAGGGGCGGAGGGAGGAUGGAGGGACGCCGGGUGCGGGAUGACGGCCUUCGGGGUGGAAGCCGCUUUCGCCGGUGACGAAGCGUGAGUGACGGUAAUGGGUAAAGAAGCACCGGCUAACUACGUG
rnacentral:rRNA from 1 species